GGAGGCGCCGCUGCUGUGUCCCUUGGUGGAGAGGGCGCUGCCAGCCCUGCGCGGUUUCCAGCCAGGAAGCUUCGGGAAGCCUGGACGUCUGCUCACUGGAGAUGACACGUGCGUGGGGUGUUGGGAAGGAGGUGACUUCGCCUGUGAUGGACUCCCAGUGUGAGCUGUGAUGGACUUCCAGUGUGAGCACUGGCCAGAGUGACCAGGCCGACCAUCAACAGCCCUGAUCCAGAUGCAGAGGCCAGGAUGUGGGCCCAGCCCUGUGCCAGAAGGCUGGCUGGAAUAAAGGGAUGGGCAGGCUGGCAUGGGGGCACCCGCUGCCCCUGCCUGGGUGUUGCUGUGUAUUCCCGCCGGCCAGGGGCCACUGCCAGGACCACCCCUCCCUUUUCAUAUCCCGAUUCUUAAGUUCUGCUAUUGUGGUAUUGUGGUCGAAAAAAAAGAACCGCUUGGCUGUUUUUGAACUGCCUGGAACCUAAGAUCCUGAAUUUUUUUUCCCCCCCAAGGGGGAAAGUCUAUAUGGAAAACAUUUAUUUUAAAAUACAGGAUGAAGUGAAUUAAAAGAUUUAAAUGCAAAA
rnacentral:lncRNA from 1 species